GCUGGGGACUGCAGUGAGAAGAUCACACGGCACAGAUCAUACUAAGACAUUCACCUCCUGGUAUCCUGUUCCUGUAAGAGAAUGAGGCCAGUGUGAUAGCUAGAGCCUGUGGAUCUCCCAUUCUUGCCU
rnacentral:lncRNA from 1 species